rnacentral:lncRNA from 1 species
CCCUUCUCUCUCUCCCUCUCUCUGAAUGUCUCUCUUUCCCUCUUUCUCUUACCCCUUUCCUCUGUCUCUCUCCCCACGGCAACUUCUCUGGCCUUGUUCCUUGGGACCAGGGAAUCCACGCAAGAGCCGCUUCCCAAUAAACCCGGCAUUAUGUAGUUUA